GACGAACGCUGGCGGCGGGCCUAAUACAUGCCAGUCGAACGAGUGGCGGACGGGUGAGUAAUAUAUCGGAACGUGCCCAGUAGCGGGGGAUAACUACUCGAAAGAGUGGCUACUACCGCAUACUCUUGGAGCGGCCGAUAUCGGAUUAGCUAGGUGGUGGGGUAAAGGCUCAUCAAGGCAACGAUCCGUAGAUGGUUUUAGAGGAAGAACAGCCACACUGGGACUGAGAAACGGCCCAGACUCCUCCGGGAGGCAGCAGUGGGGAAGUUUGGACAAUGGGGGAAACCCUGAUCCAGCCAUCCCGCGUGUAUGAGAAGGCCUUCGGGUUGUAAAGUACUGUUGGCAGAGAAGCGGUAUCUGCAGAAGAAGCAACGGCUAACUACGUGCCAGCAGCCGCGGUAAUAC
rnacentral:rRNA from 1 species